AGUCGGACCUGCCCAGUGAAAUUUUUUAACGGCCGCGGUACUCUGACCGUGCAAAGGUAGCAUAAUCAUUUGCCUUAUAAUUGAAGGCUAGUAUGAAUGGUUUGACAAGAAUAUAGCUGUCUCUUUCUGAUUAAAUAGAAUUUUAUUUAGAGGUGAAGAAGCCUCUAUCAAAUUAAAAGACAAGAAGACCCUAUCGAGCUUUAAAAAAGUUAAUAGAUGNAAAUAAUUUAUANUAUUUAAAAAAUUAACUAUUAAAAAUUUUAGUUGGGGCGACUGAGGAACAAAAAAAGCUUCCUUUAUNAGUGUAANAACCACACGAGUAUUGAUCCAGAAUAUUUUGAUUAAAGGAAUUAGUUACCGUAGGGAUAACAGCAUUAUCUUUUUUAAGAGUUCUUAUCGAAAAGAAGGUUUGUGACCUCGAUGUUGGACCAGAAUAUCCUAAAGAUGCAGUAGUCUU
rnacentral:rRNA from 1 species